AGCGAACGCUGGCGGCAGGCCUAACACAUGCAAGUCGAACGAACCUUUCGGGGUUAGUGGCGGACGGGUGAGUAACACGUGGGAACGUGCCUUUAGGUUCGGAAUAACUCAGCGAAACUUGUGCUAAUACCGAAUGUGCCCUUCGGGGGAAAGAUUUAUCGCCUUUAGAGCGGCCCGCGUCUGAUUAGCUAGUUGGUUGAGGUAAUGGCUCACCAAGGCGACGAUCAGUAGCUGGUCUGAGAGGAUGAUCAGCCACAUUGGGACUGAGACACGGCCCAAACUCCUACGGGAGGCAGCAGUGGGGAAUCUUGCGCAAUGGGCGAAAGCCUGACGCAGCCAUGCCGCGUGAAUGAUGAAGGUCUUAGGAUUGUAAAAUUCUUUCACCGGGGACGAUAAUGACGGUACCCGGAGAAGAAGCCCCGGCUAACUUCGUG
rnacentral:rRNA from 1 species